UUUUUUUCUUCUCUUUUUUUUCCUCACACUUUUUUUCUUUUUCUUUCUCUCUUUUUUUCUCUGACUUCUUUUUCUUUUUUUCUCUUUUUUUUCUCUGUCUUUUUUUCUCUCCCUCUUUCUAAGACAAACUAGAUAAGAUGCAGAUUGGAUCAAGCGAAGAUGUGAACAACCUCAACUAUGAUUGUGACAAUGAACUAUGGGUAGCACGUGGUGGAAAUUGAUGGAUGGUGUGGUGGACAGCGGAAGGGAUAACGAUGCAGCGGCGACGUGACUAAUGUGAACAGAACUCGAAACUCUAAACAAACUAGACCCUAAGACCAGCAACUCGACACGACGAUGCAACCGAUAAUUCAAUAAUGCAAACAAUGAAAAGAAAAUUGCAAAGGCUCAAACUGGCUUGGACAAAAGGAUGAAUAGAUCUAACUUUUUUGUGGCUUUCUUGGACAAUAGGUAAGAAAAUAAAUCUAAUCCAGGGAUAACUGGAAAUUCUCACCGAGCAACCUGGCUCUGAUACCACUUGAUAGAGGCAAAGGUGUCCCGAUGUUUCGAUGAGAUAGCAAUCGUUUUCUGUGGGAGUCGACUUUGACGAUCCGACUACGAACGUGCGAAGACGUCGCGCCUUAGCAAUCGCUAAACCAACUUCCGAGGGGUUAUUGACCACGCCGGAGCACGAUCAACCUGACCACGAGGGUCUAUUUCCUGCGAGCAAACGAAGAACAAGCAAGAAGCUGAGAUUGCAAUCUAGAUAUUGCGAAUAAAAGAGAAAAGCUUUAUUAAUGAAGGUGGGGUUCUGUGACGCCUUUGUCUGGUCGUUGAACACAAACGAAGUACGCAAAGUUGCAGCUAUGGCGAACUUUUAAUCUAAACAAAACCCAAGGAAAAAGCUACUAGAUGGAUCUACUUAUAUAGGAGCAAGGGGUGGCGGUCAAGGAGGUGGAAGGACGUCCCAAGGCAGCCUAAAACCAACCCUAGGUCGUACAAGGCUCAUGGGCCCAAGUGGAGGUGAUGCAACACCUUUGGACUUGUUGUUUGACUCGGAUUCUGCUGCACCGUCAGAUUGUUUCGUCCAUAUCUCAACGCUCCGGACGAAUUUAAAGGUGAAUCCAAUUGGGUUGGAAAGAGAACGAAAUCUACUUUCCAACAAAAAAAGAAUCACCCAAUUCGGAGUCCGUAUGAAAAAGUUAUUGGCGUUUUGAGUCAGGUAUGUCUGUGCAGUCCGAAUCUGAAUCCAGAACGUGAGAGACUUGGACUCUAUCUUCUCUUGGCCCAAAAGUGACGUGAGAGGGCUUUUUGAACAGAACCUAAACUUCUCCUUUCCCCCUAUCUUCAUAUGUGGAUUGUACAAAUGUCCCAUACACCUGCAAUUAGACAAAACACAAAAGUGUGUGAAGUAUUUUUGUUCUGGAUAAUAUAAAUAGAUUAUUGAAUAAUUUGCACUCGAAAUCACCUCACAAAUAUGCUUGUAUGCAAUAUUUUUGGUCAUAUCCAAGGUAGUCAUGUCCUCAUCAUUAAAGAAGAGUUGUAUAUGAUGCAACCAGAAGGUUUUGUCGAUCCUAAAGGUGCUAACAAAGUGUGCAAAGCUCCAGUGAUCCAUUUAUGGACUGGUGCAAGCAUCUCGGAGUUGGAAUAUACACUUUGAUGAGUUGAUCAAAGCAUAUAGUUUUAUACAGACUUGCUGUGAAGCCUGUAUUUACAAGAAAGUGAGUGGGAGCACUACAGCCUUUCUGAUAAGUAUAUGUGAAUGACAUAUUGUUGAUUGGAAAUGAUGUAAAUUUUUUUGGAAAGCAUAAAGGAGGUUUUGAAAGGAGUUUUUCAAAGAAAGACCUCGGUGAAGCUGAUUACAUAUUGAGCAUCAAGAUCUAUAGAGAUAGAUCAAGACGCUUGAUAAGUUUUUUUCAAUGAGUACAUACCUUGACAAGUUUUUGAAGUAGUUCAAAAUGGAACAGUCAAAGAAGGAGUUCUUGCCUGUGUUGCAAGGUGUGAAGUUGAGUAAGACUCAAAGCCCGACCUCGGCAGAAGAUAGAGAGAGAAUGAAAGUCAUUCCCUAUGCCUCAGCCAUAGGUUCUAUAAAGUAUGUCAUGCUAUGUACCAGACCUAUUGUAUACCCUGCCCUGAGUUUGGCAAGGGAGUACAAUAGUGAUCUAGGAGUAGAUCACUGGACAGCGGUCAAAAUUAUCCUUAGAAGACUAAGGAAAUAUUUAUCAGUUAUGGAGGUGAUAAAGAGUUCGUCGUAAAGAGUUACAUCGAUGCAAGCUUUGACGCCGAUCUGGAUGACUCUGAGUCUCGAUCUGGAUACAUAUUGAAAGUGGGAGCAUUUAGCUAGAGUAGCUCCGUGCAGAGCAUUGUAGACAUAGCAAUUUGCAAAAUACAUACAGAUCUGAAUGUGGCAGACGCAUUGACUAAACCCCUCUCACAAGCAAAACAUGAUCACACCUUAGUACUCUUUGGGUGUUAAUCACAUGACGACAUGAACUGGAUUACUGACUCUAGUAAACCCUUUGCGUGUUGGUCACAUAGCGAUGUGAACUAUUGGUGUUAAAUCACAUGGCGAUGUGAACUAGAUUAUUGACUCUAGUGCAAUUGGGAGACUGAAGGAAAUAUGCCCUAGAGGCAAUAAUAAAGUUGUUAUUUUUAUAUUUCCUUAUAUCUUGAUAAAAGUUUAUUAUUCAUGCUAGAAUUGUAUUAACCGAAAACUUGAUACAUGUGUGAAUACAUAGACAAAACAAAGUGUCCCUAGUAUGCCUCUACUUAACUAGCUCGUUAAUCAAAGAUGAUUAAGUUUCCUAACCAUAAACAUGUGUUAUCAUUUGAUGAACGGGAUCACAUCAUUAGAGAAUGAUGUGAUGGACAAGACCAAUCCGUUAGCUUAGCAUUAUGACCGUUUAGUUUUAUUGCUAUUGCUUUCUUCAUGACUUAUACAUGUUCCUCUGACUAUGAGAUUAUGCAACUCCCGAAUAUCGGAGGAACACCUUGUGUGCUAUCAAACAUCACAACGUAACUGGGUGAUUAUAAAGAUGCUCUACAGGUGUCUCCGAUGGUGUUUGUUGGGUUGGAAUAGAUCAAGAUUAGGAUUUGUCACUCCGAGUAUCGAAGAGGUAUUUCUGGGCCCUCUCGGUAAUGCACAUCAGUAUAAGCCUUGCAAGCAAUGUGACUAAUGAGUUAGUUAUGGGAUGAUGCAUUACGGAACGAGUAAAGAGACUUGCCGGUAACGAGAUUGAACUAGGUAUGAGGAUACCGAUGAUCGAAUCUUGGGCAAGUAACAUACCGAUGACAAAGGGAACAACGUAUGUUGUUAUGCGGUUUGACCGAUAAAGAUCUUAAUAGAAUAUGUAGGAGCCAAUAUGAGCAUCCAGGUUCCGCUAUUGGUUAUUGACCGGAGAUGUGUCUCGGUCAUGUGCAUAGUUCUCGAACCCGUAGGGUCCGCACGCUUAACGUUCGAUGACGAUUUGUAUUAUGAGUUAUGUGAUUUGAUGACCGAAGUUUGUUUGGAGUCCCGGAUGAGAUCAUCGACAUGACGAGGAGUCUCGAAAUGGUUGAGAGGUAAAGAUUCAUAUAUAGGACGAUGGUAUUUGGACACCGGAAGUGUUCCGAGUGAUACCGGGUCACCGGAAGUGGUUCCGGGCUACCCCCGGCAAAGAUAUGGGCUUAACGGGCCAACUGGAACACACGAGCCCACAAGGGUCUAGUGCGCGAUAGGGCCAGCCACGUGGGGAGAAAGGGAAAGGAGAGGAGGAAAAGGGAAGUAUGAAGUAGGACUCCUACUUCCUUCCCCUCCCCCCUCCUUCCUUUCCCCCUUGUCCAAAUAUGGUGGGGGGCGAAUUGGACUAGGGGCCCAAGUAGGAUUCCUCCUACUUGGGCGCGCCCUAGGCUGCCUCCCUCCCUCUCCCUUCUUUAUAUACGUGGGGAGGGCACCCCUAGAACGCACAUCAAUUGUUCCUAGCCGUGUGCGGUGCCCCCUCCAUAGUUACACACCUCGGUCGUAUCGUUGUAGUGCUUAGGCGAAGGCCUGCGCGGGUAACUUCAUCAUCACCGUUGCCACGCCGUCGUGCUGACAGAACUCUCCCUCGGCCUCAACUAGAUUAAGAGCUCGAUGGACGUCAUCGAGUUGAACGCUGAACAGGGAGGUGCCGUAUGUUCGGUGCUUGGAUCAGUUGGAUCGUGAAGACGUUCGACUACAUCAACCGCGUUACUAAACCCUUCCGCUUUCGGUCUACGAGGGUACGUGGACACAAUCUCCCCGCUCGUUGCUAUGCUUCUCCUAGAUAGAUCUUGCGUGAUCGUAGGAAUUUUUUUGAAAUACUACGUUCUCCAACAUGCUCAUCGCAACCCGCCGUCGUUGGUGUGGUGCCACUGCUGCAAAUCACGGAGAGUCAUCCGUUGCGUCUCAGCCACAAUCCUCAACUCUGGCCGAGUCUUCUACAAAUGCCCGAAUCUUGGGGUAAUAAUAUGUUUAAGUGUUGUUCCGCUGCUUUCAGUUGUUGAUUCUUUAAUAGUUUGGUUGAUGAUCUUCCAAUUUGAUUCGUGCAGAAAAGGGAAGAUUCAAGUGAUUUGUAUUUCCGGGAAGUUGCUGAUGUGGGGGAAUGCAACUACGCUGAUUAUUUGGUUAGCCGAGGAAUCCCAAUACCAACAGGUUGGGGUGUUGGAAAAGUAACUGAAGGAACAACAGAAGAGGAAGAUGCAGAACAGAAGGUUAAAGAUGCAGUUCCUCUGAUCAUGGCCAAGCAACAACUGCUGAACGACCUUGACAAUAAUGAGGAGAUGAAAGAGCUUGUGAAGACAAUGGGCAAAAUCGAUGUGCUCUGUAGGAUGAUUGUCUCUUUAUUUGAAGUGUAUGUAGCACUCGUGAUGUAUUCAGUGGCUAUGACAUGAGCACUUUGCUGAAACUAGUAAUGAAUGAAACCUGUUUAGCAGGUUGGGCAUAGUGUUGUGAACAUCUAAUGAUUUCUAUUAACGGAAAUCGGGGGGGGUAUCCCCUUUUGCUCAUAAAUAAAUAAAUAGCAAAGACCCUUUUGCUAAGAAAUAAAUAAAUUAGCAGAGGCCCUGUCGGGUCAGCUUUGUUCCCAUUCGAAGACGUCGAGCAAAUUGCAGUCCAACAACAAACUAUGCCAUCAAAUUUAAGUUUCAUAGGCAAAUAUGAGUACAACUCAACAACAAUGUCAUCAUGUUUUAGUCAUACAAUCACCAAACACAAAUCAACAUACAUAAUAAGUGAUGUUCUCACAGCAAAAUACUAAGCAACAAGUUCAUCAGGUUUCGGUUGUCAUAGCAAACACAAUUUCACAUAGUAGAUAAAAAAACGUCUUCUGACAGGCAAAUACGACAAAAGCAAUCUAAUCAUCAUCUGCAGCAGCAGCAUCAGCAUCAACAUCUUUGCCAUGUGUAUCAGUCUGAAUCGUAAUUCCCCACAGUGUCAUCUUCUUCUUCAUCCUCAAUGUCCUCGAACGUUGGCUUCUUCUUGAUCAACUCUUGUAUGUCCACAGCCCGUUAGGCAAUCUUUUUGCCAGCGUCAUUGACGUGAUGGUUCUCAAAGAUAUUAGGAACAUCUGUGGAAUCUUGUACAUCAGGAGCAGUGUAAGCAUCAUCUUGUUGUGCAACUUCAUUAAACGAAUUCCUCUGCUCAAACCUUUGCAAUACUCUCCAGUCAUCGCUAUGUGCAAAUGUGUCUUCCAAGAAAAAUAUCUGUGUUGCUUGAUUUGCCAAAAUAAAUGGCCCACUGGUCUGGUACGCCGCCUUGACAUUGAUGGAUUUGAAAUAAUCAUCAGCUCUGGGUUUUGCGAUCCUGGAAAACAGGUUAUACCAACGACACCACAACAGAGCCACACACCGAUGAACCUCGAAACUGGAGAUAUACUGCAACUGAACAAUGUCUGUUAUGUUAGCAUACAUUUCAGUUGUCACUUCGCCAUACUUAUCCAUGCUCAUGAUGGCACUAUUUUGUGUCUUCCUGCCUUCCUCGCGUGCAAGGGUGUUGUAGUGCACAUCUCCAACAACGCAAGAUUCAUAAUGUCUUACCCGAGUAUCAGGACCCAUUGCUAGUGCAUAAAGGGCAUCAUCAACUGCCUGCCCAUCCUCCCGCAUCUUCUUAACCUAUGUUAGAAAAUAGACAAGCUGAUCAUCUUAUGUAGUCAAUAUAUUAAAAAAACUGACAGUGCAAUUCAAAAGCUUAGAUGGCUCUUGAACCAUUUCGCAAAUCCUGCCAUAACCAGUUUGUCAAUGUUUCUUGGAUUCUGCGGCAGUAACUCCUUUUUGUAGAUGCUGCACAACAUAGUGAUCGCGUCAAACAUCUAAAUAUAUAAUAAUGUGCUACAAGUUUAGUAGACUACGAUGUAUAAGCUGCAGUACUUAGCACUUACUUGAUAGAAGGUAGUAUCUCAGGGCAGUUAUUCAAUAAAUACCAAACCAUUUGUCCAAAUCUUUAAGUUUGUCGUCUUGUCGACUCUUCCCUAUAACUCGAACAGAACAAUCGAAAACAUUGAGCCCGAGAUUGUCUUCACCCACCUCUUUGCUAAGUUGAUCAGCUGUUUCAAUGUAUUUUGAGCAGAAUGUCAACGCUUCUGUAGCAAUGUAGGCCUCUGCAAUGGAACCCUCGGGUCUAGCUCUGUUCCAAACAUAACCCUUGAAAGUGCCUAGCCGCCUUUCAAUAGGGUGCAUCCAGCCAUACUGUACUGGACCUCUAAGUAGUGCCUCAUCAGGUAGAUGAACAACCAAAUGCACCAUCACAUCAAAGAAGGCUGGAGGAUAUAUCUUCUCAAGGUCGCAUAGGAUAGUUGGUAUCUUGUCUCUAAGACGCUCUAAAGCAUCUAUCCUGAUAUUUCUACUGCAGAGUUCCGUGAAGAAUUGUCCCAACUCUGCAACUGCUCUGUAUAAGUGAGGGCGGCCCAAUCCUCUAAGGAUAACAGGUAAAACCCUUUGGAGUAGGACGUGGCAGUCAUGAGUUUUCAACCCUUGUACUUUGUUUCCAUCUGCACUGACUCUCCUUUCAGGGUUGGAAGCAAAUCCUUGUGGGAAUCUCACACUUGACAGGACCUUGCAGAAUUCUUUUCUUUUUACCUUGUCCAAGACGUACACAACUGGUGCCAUAUCCUGUCGUUUGCCUUCAUCUUGCACCUGCAAAUCCUGUCUGAUACCCAGGUGUGUCAAAUCAAUCCUAGAUUUUAAGGUAUCUUUCGUCUUGCCUUCAAUAUUAAGAAGUGUGCCAAUAAUGCUGUCACAUAUUUUUUUUCUCGAUGUGCAUCACAUCAAGAUUAUGCCGCAGAUCCAAAACUUUGCAAUACUCCAAGUCCCACAAAGUGGACCUGCGGGUAAACAAUAAUCUCUCUUCUGCCCUGCCACGCUUCCUUUUCCCGCUACCAUUAUCAGGAUGGUUUCCUGGUGUAAUAUGCCUGACCUUCUCUAAUUCCACUUGCAACUCAUCGGCGGUGAGCCUCUUUGGCGCAUCACGGUUUUCAUGCUUUGCAUUGAACACAUAUCUUCAGUAUUUUGUAGGACGCAGCUUGUCCUUGGCAAGGAAACAUCGGUGUCCAAUGUAACAUAUCUUGCUAAGUAUUGUGUAUGACAACGGAUUCGUGUCACAGCGAACACAUGCAUUGUAACCAUGUGUCAUUCGCCCUGACAUAGUGCCCAAAGCCGGAUAAUCAUGGAUGCACCAAAUUAUAACAACACGUAGAAAGAAAUCAGCUGGUGGGCUGCUAUAUAGAUCUCAAGUGAGAACACCCCUCCAUAGAUGUUGAAGUUCCUCCACAAGAGGCUCCAUGAAUAAAUCAAAAUCCUUUCCAGGACUUUUUGGACCUGGGAUGAGCAAGGCCAUCAUGUAGUUUCAUUCUUUGGUGAAGACAUUUGGAGGCAUGUUGUAAGGGAUAACAAGCACUGGCCACAUGCUAUAUGUGGCGCUCUGGUGGCCAAAUGGGUUAAAUCCAUCUGAAGCUAAGCCAAGUCUAAUGUUUCUCGGGUCAGCAGCAAACUUUUUGUGUUUUUGAUUGAAGCUUUUCCAGUCACUACCAUGAGAUGGAUGGCUCAUUACAUUCUGAUCUCUGUACUCCUGGUUCCUAGAAUGCCACAGUACAUCCUCUCUUAUUUCAGCAUCAUGAAACAACCUCUGCAAUCUUGGUAUAAUCGGAAAAUGUCUGAACAUUAUGAGGAAUCCUCUUCACAGCAUCGCCAUCUUUCCAUCUUGAUGAUUUGCAUUUUGGGCAUUCACUUAAGUUGGCAUAAUCCUUCUGGAACAGAACACAAUAUUCUUACAAACAUGGAUCAUAUCAUAUCCAAUUCCAACUGCAUGAAGGAAAUUCUUCAUUUUACUGUAGGUGUGUGGCAGCUCAGAUGCAUCUGGGAAAGAUUUGCGGAAAGCAGCCAACAUCGCAUCGAAUGAUUUGUUGGUCAUCCGCUCAGAUGUCUUCACCUGAAGAAAGGUGACCAUAGCUGAAAAUACUGGUAGCUUAUUUCCUGGGGUGACAGCCACGUUGCAUUGUUCCAACAUGCGGGCCCAUCGUUUUUCUUCUGCAGGUGAAAGUUCACGAAAUGCACGAGCAUUUCAUAGCAUUGUUUCAAUAAUGGUCAAACUCACUGGCUCCGCCACCACCACCUCCUCCUCCUCUUCCACUUGAGCAUCAGGCAGAUCAAGAUGGUGAUCUGCUGCUUCCACAUAGUCAGUAACAUUGACGUUCACAGCUUCACCAUGAUGAACCCACCUAGUAUAUGUGACCGACAUCCCAUACAAGUGUAGAUGAUUUUGCACAGUUGAUUGGGGUCUUGUAACUGAAUUCAUACAACUGCUACACGGGCAGAGCACAUCUGACUUCGGACCACCGUACUCAGCUCUGAUAAAGUUCAUGAAGUUUUCAACCCCCUCGACAUAUGCAGCGGAGAAUCUUUGAGCAGAAGUUAUCCAAGUCCUGUCCAUCUGUUAGACAUACAAAUUAGUUCUUCUACUAGAUAUUACAGGAGAAACAUAUAUGCUUUUUUACGAAGUCCAGAAAAAAUAUCUAGGUCGAUGUCUAAAGCUAUGGCAAGGUAUUUGGACAAGCAGAUCUAAGUAACGAAAUAUAUGUAAAGCUAAUUCAGCAAACAGAUUUGAGUGCUAAAUUAUGGCGGGCUGUUUUAGCAGUCAAUGAGGCCGAGCACACAGCCAUCGAAGGCCAUCUCAGCAACAAAGAUCGAGUAUAAAAUGGUGUAGAGCUAUUUCACCUAACAGAUUGGCUACUAGACCAUGGCAAUCUAUGUCACAAUAAAUAUAUGGAAGGAUAUUUUAGCAACUAAUCGGGCUUGGCAUGCCAUCUCAGCUAAGCAGAUUGAGUGCAGAACAGGGCAAGGAAGCUUCUUACGUAGAGCAUAUUGACUGUAAACUACUUCAACAAAUAGUGAGACUAACAAUGUCUAUCAGCUAACAUUCAGCGCCACACCGACAUGCAUGGGGCCUCAGUCUAGAAUGCGCGUAUCAUGGGAGAAGCUGACCACCGUGCGUCUCCACACGAACAUCGCCAGCGGUGGCGGCGCUGACCACCGUGCGUCUCCACAAGAACGUCGCCAGCGGUGGCGACGCGGCUAGAGGACGACAGUCUACGAGAGCGUACUGUGGGAGCGAGAGGAUCGCCGUGCGUCCCCUCGAUGAACCGCGGCACCGACGUAUCGGCGCGGCGGGGAGGGCGGCUUUGGCGGAGCGAAUAGAGUGGAGGGGGCCGGGGGGNNNNNNNNNNNNNNNNNNNNNNNNNNNNNNNNNNNNNNNNNNNNNNNNNNNNNNNNNNNNNNNNNNNNNNNNNNNNNNNNNNNNNNNNNNNNNNNNNNNNNNNNNNNNNNNNNNNNNNNNNNNNNNNNNNNNNNNNNNNNNNNNNNNNNNNNNNNNNNNNNNNNNNNNNNNNNNNNNNNNNNNNNNNNNNNNNNNNNNNNNNNNNNNNNNNNNNNNNNNNNNNNNNNNNNNNNNNNNNNNNNNNNNNNNNNNNNNNNNNNNNNNNNNNNNNNNNNNNNNNNNNNNNNNNNNNNNNNNNNNNNNNNNNNNNNNNNNNNNNNNNNNNNNNNNNNNNNNNNNNNNNNNNNNNGGGGGAGUUUGGCGCAUGGUCGAUUUCUCCAAGUGCAGUCCCGCAUGUCAGUGAAGAGGCAAGCCGAAGCGCGUUCCAUUUGUGUGAGUCCUGUGCAGGACCGACCGUGUGUGGGGUGUAAUGCGACUGCGACAGGCGUGCUGUGAGUGUACCGCCUUUUUCCUUUUUAAACUUGGUGCUUCGCCCCCUCAAAAAAAAACUUGGCGCUUCGCGCGAUCCAUCUAUACUACUACUAGUAAUCCCGACUAAAACGGCGCGGUCGGGUCUUUUCCUGCGUGAUAUGCCGGGAGGUUGGCUUAGUUGGUUUUUUAGGACGAGUAAUGCUACACCUACGUAAUCCCAGUUACGCAAUUAACGUAAUGUGAAACGUGUGAGCUGUUGAUUGUAGAUUGGGGGGAGGGAGGGGCCCACCACCAUGAAAAUCAGGGGGGAGAGAGAGAGGCAAUUUACGUUAACCCUUUCGUAGGUUCCCAUAGAUGUAGAAAUAUGUGAAAUGCGUGAAUGUGUAGUGGACGUACUAUUGGAGUGCCUAAGAGCAUGGUUAAUAAUAUAGCCAGCUGAUGGCUAUGAGGAACCUCCAUGUCAUCUAUGGCCAUCAUCUAUAUGCACUCAUACAAUAAUGUGGGCUAUAAGGUUGGCUAUUAUAUUAGUACUUUUUUCCAUUUUCUCUCUAUCUCUUUCUUCAUAUGAUAGAGGCAAAGGUGUCCCGUCUUUCGAUGAGAUGGUGGCUAUCGUUUUUGAGGAAGUCGACUUUGACGAUCCGACUACGAACGUGCGAGGACGUCGCGCCUUAGCAAUCGCUAAACCAACUCCGAGAGGUUAUUGACCACGCCGGAGCACGAUCAACCUGACCACGAAGGUGUGUUUCCUGCAGGCAAACGAAGAACAAGCAAGAAACUAAGAUUGCAAUCUGGAUAUUGCGAAUAUAAGGCAAUUUCAAAACAGCCCUAAGCAUAGUAGGAAACCAUACACAAUUUCAAAAGGGCACAUCUUAGUAGUAGAAUGCAAUGAACGAUUAUAAGCAAACUCAAUAUGAGGCAAGCAUUCUUCCCACAUUUUCUUAUUAUUCUUCAAAACAGCCCUAAGCAUAGUACACAAUGUUCUAUUGACUACUUCAGUUUGACCAUCGGUUUGGGGGUGACAAGUAGUACUAAAAAGCAGUUUAGUCCCCAACUUAGCCCAUAAACAUCUCCAAAAGUGGCUAAGAAAUUUAGUAUCACGAUCUGAAACAAUAGUAUUUGGCACACCAUGCAAACGAAUAAUUUCACGGAAGAACAAAUCAGCAACAUUAACAGCAUCAUCGCUUUUAUGACAUGGUAUAAAGUGUGCCAUUUUUGAGAAUCUAUCCACGACAACAAAUAUGCUAUCCCUCCCCUUCUUUGUUUGAGGUAAACCUAAAACAAAGUCCAUAGAUAUAUCCUCCCAAGGAACACUAGGUACAGGCAAAGGCAUAUCUAAACCAUGAGGAUUGAGUCGUGACUUAGCUUUUUGACAUGUAGUGCAGCGAGCAACAAAACGCUCAACAUCCCGUCUCAUCUUUGGCCAAAAGAAAUGUGUAGCAAGUACGUCCUCCGUCUUCUUCACGCCAAAGUGUCCCAUUAAUCAUCCUCCAUGCGCCUCCUGCAACCACAAAAGACGAAGAGAGCUAGCUGGAAUGCAUAGCUUGUUAGCACGGAACACAAAUCCAUCAUUAACGACAAACUUGUUCCAGGUUCUUCCUUCUUUACAAUUCUGCAAAACAUCUAUAAAAUCAGCAUCAUGCACAUAUUGAUCUUUGAUGGUCUCCAAACCAAAUAUUUUGAAGUCAAGUUGUGAAAGCAUAGUAUAGCGACGAGACAAUGCAUCAGCAAUAACAUUUUCUUUACCCUUCUUGUGUUUAAUGACAUAAGGGAAAGUUUCAAUGAAUUCAACCCAUUUAGCAUGUCUAUGAUUCAGUUUAGCUUGACUUUUAAUAUGUUUCAAAGAUUCAUGAUCAGAAUGUAUAUAACAAAUUCUUUGGGCCAUAAAUAAUGUUGCCAUGUUUCUAAAGUCCGAACAAGAGCAUAUAGUUCUUUAUCAUAAGUAGAAUAAUUCAGACUAGGCCCACUCAAUUUUUCAGAAAAGUAUGCAACAGGUUUACCAUCUUGUAAUAACGCACCUCCUAAUCCAAUUCCACUAGCAUCACAUUCAAGCUCAAAAGUCUUAUUAAAAUCAGGAAGUUGGAGUAAAGGAGCAUGUGUCAACUUAUCUUUCAAUACCGUGAAGGCUUCUUCCUGUGCGGUACCCCAAACAAAAGGCACAUCCUUCUUUGUUAGCGCAUUGAGAGGUGCAGCAAUGAUGCUAAAAUCUCUCACAAAACGCCUAUAGAAACCAGCGAGUCCAAGAAAACUCCGCACUUGUGUGACCGUUUUGGGCUGCGGCCAACUCUCAAUAGCUUCAAUCUUGGCUUUAUCAACUUCAAUUCCGUGUGGAGUAACAACAUAGCCAAGAAAAGAUACUCGGUCGGUGCAAAAGGUGCACUUCCCAAGGUUACCAAAGAAACGUGCAUCACGUAGAGCAAUAAAAAUAGCACGUAAAUGUUCCAAAUGUUCUUCCAAAGAUUUGCUAUAAAUCAGUAUAUCAUCAAAAUAGACUACCACAAAUCGUCCAAUGAAAGCACGUAAAACUUCGUUCAUUAGUCUCAUGAAAGUACUAGGUGCAUUAGUUAACCCAAAAGGCAUGACUAACCACUCAUAUAAACCAAACUUAGUUUUAAAUGCAGUUUUCCAUUCAUCUCCCAAUUUCAUACGAAUUUGAUGGUAUCCACUACGCAAAUCAACUUUGGAGAAUAGUGUAGAGCCACUCAAUUCAUCAAGCAUAUCCUCUAGCCUAGGAAUAGGAUGACGAUAACGAAUAGUAAUAUUAUUAAUGCCUCUACAAUCAACACACAUACGUGACGUACCAUCCUUUUUAGGCACUAGUAUAAUAGGAACAGCACAAGGACUAAGAGAUUCGCGUAUAUAACCUUUGUCGAGCAGCUCCUGUACUUGACGCAUAAUCUCCUUCGUCUCCUCUGGAUUGGUACGGUAUGGUGCACGGUUGGGUAGCGAUGCACCGGGAAUUAAAUCAAUUUGAUGCUCAAUCCCUCGAAUAGGUGGUAAUCCCGGUGGCACGUCUUGUGGGAAGACGUCAGCGAAGUCCUGCAAAAUGUUAGUGACAGCAGGGGGCAAAGAGGAAGGCACGUCCUCGAAUGAAAAUAAUGCCUCUUUGCACACAAAAGCAUAUCAAACAGAUUUGUUGAAAUCUAGCUCAUCAAUAUCAGAUUUUGUGGCAAGUAAACAUGCACUUUUCAAUUUAAUUUCAGAAACAACACUAGAUGGUUUAUUAUUAGGUUUCAUUUGUUGCUGAAAUUCUUUUGCCACAAUCUGAUUUUCACUCUUAUUUUUCUCCUGUUUUGCUUUAUUAGCUCUAUUAAUGUCAUCUUUGAAAAUGGAAUCAGGAGUCAUAGGAAGCAAAGUAAUAUUUUUAUCGUUAUGAACAAGAGUAUACUGAUUGUUUCUACCAUGGUGUACAGAAUUUUUAUCAAAUUGCCAUGGUCUACCAAGUAAUAAGGAACAUGCUUGCAUGGGUACCACAUCACAAUCAACAUAAUCAGCAUAUGUAGAGAUACUAAAAUGCACACGAACAGUACGUGUUACCUUAACCUUGCCACUGUUGUUGAACCAUUGGAUGUAGUAAGGAUGUGGAUGUGGUCUUGUGGUGAGAGAUAGUUUCUCCACCAUCUCCAUGCUAGCCAAGUUGUUACAGCUCCCUCCAUCCAUGAUGACGCGAACAGAACGUUCCUUCAGAACUCCCUUUGUAUGGAACAAAUUAUGCCUCUGAUUUUGCUCUGCUUGUGUGACCUGCACACUCAAAACACGUUGAGCAACUAAACAUUCAUACCUGUCAGCGUCUUCAGGAGCCAUGUAUUGCGUCUCAUUUUCAGAAUCAUCUCCACCAUGUUCUUCACGUGUAAUAAGAGCCAAAGUCUCCUCAUCAUAGUCACUAGCGGACUCAUACCCACCAUCCUCAGUAGCAAUCAUCACACGCUGAGAUUUGCAUUCUCUCGCAUAAUGUCCUCUUCCCUUACAACGACGACAAAUAAUAUCACUUGUGUGCCCUGUUGACGCCAUGGAAGAACAAGAGCUCUGCGCAGGCCCGGCAGGUGUGCUCUUGGCAGAGAGUGGUGGUUGUGCCUGCUUUCUUGUAUCACGGCUGGAGGUGGCACCUGAUGGAGGUGAUGGUGAAGUGGAAGUAGAGGAUGCACGUGGUGUCCAUGAUGAAGGUCGACCUGCAGAAAAGUUUGUUCGCGCCAAUGCCUGUCGAUCCUGCACUUCACGUUCAGCUUUACAAGCAAGAUGGAAUAAACGAGUGAUAUUAUUAUAAUCCUUAUACUCUAGAAUGGUCUGAAUCUCUUUAUUUAAUCCACCCAUAAAACGUGCAAGCAUAGCUUCAUUCUCCUCAACAAUACCACAUCGAAUCAUGCCAGUUUGUAAUUCCUGAUAAUAUUCUUCUACAGAGUUUUUCCCUUGUCUUAAGCGGUGCAAUUUUUGAAGUAAUUCACGUUGAUAAUAUGGUGGAACCCAACGAGUAUGCAUAGCAGUUUUCAAAGCAGCCCAAGUAGCUAGAACAGGAUAUAAUCUACAAUGUUCAGACCACCAAACACAUGCAAAGCUAGUGAAAGCACAAACAGCAGCAGGAACACGUCUCUCCUCAGGAUAUUGUAAACAUGUAAAUCGUUGUUCAGUUUCUAACUCCCAAGUAAGAUAUAUAUCAGGAACAUAUCUACCCUCAAAUGGUGGAAUAUUCAAUUUCAGUUUAGGGAGAUGGUCAUGAUCUCGUACCUGAGGUGGUGGUGCCGGCCUACCGUUGCGAAUAUAUACCUGAGGUCGACCUGCUGGUGGUGGUGCUGGUGGCUGCACGUAGUUCUGAUUUUGAUCAACCUCAUCCUCAUAAUCGCCCGCAUAAUCGUCAUCCUCCUCAGCCGCCGCAGUAGCAGGAGCCAAAGAAGCAUCAACAGUAGGUGCAGCGGCACCCGAAUUUUGACCAGUCUCAAUUGGAACGUGUUGUGCUCGUCCCACUUGAUUUGGAAGACGGCGUUGGAGAUGUGGUUGUUGUUGUUGUAGAGGUGCGACAUAUGAAGCCGGUGGUGGUUGGGGAAGACGCUUGAGUAAUUCAGUAAACUUGUUAUCCAGCUUUGUCUCGAACGACUUCUCCACGGCAUCUAUCUUCUCCAUAGCCUCUUCAAAUCUGUUUAGCACAUCUCCCACCUGGCCACUCAUCAUUUGCUGAAAUUUAUCAUGCAACUCCUUGUUCGUCAUGUUCUCCCAAUCAGUCUCAUCGGCUUGUGAUCCUGCCAUGGUUAGCAGCAAUAGAAACAAUAAAGAAUAUGAUCCUACAAACUACUAGGAAGUGGUGGUGAUGGUGGUGUGUCACAAAUCCUUCAAGCGAAUCUCAAAUUCUUACCAGUUCUUACCCAGCAACAGGUGGUGAUCGGCAACCGUUGUAGUCAAAACUCUUAAAGCUUGGAUAGAGCGAUUACCAGGGAGAGUCAAACGCACGAUGUAGAUGUAUGUGGAGCUGGGAAGGCUUAUAAUAUGGUAGCAAAAAUGGUCAGCAAUAAUCAAUUCAGAGAUGCAAAGUUGAAUAAACGCUCAACGACGGUACUGUGCUGGUCCUAGGCUAGACCGUGCUAGAGACGCGAGCCUAUAACACUAACAAAAUCACGGCGCUGCACGUAAACAAGGGAAAAGCACACUCUGGAAUUUUUUUUUGCUCUUUUUUUUCCGCGCUCUUUUUCUUUUGCGCUCUUUUUUUUUUGCGAAAAAUCACUAUAAUGGCGAGUGUCUCAAAACUCUUCCCAGGUCAAACUGAUAGGAUAGGCACAAAAUUUUUUGACUAUUUUUUUCUUCAUAAAUCAGGGCAGCGACGACGAAAAAGUGCGACAAAAAAUCACUAUGAUGGCGAGUGUCUCAAAACACUCCCCGGGACCUAAAAAUAGGAUAGGGAGAAAAUAUUUUUGGUCGCCGAAAUUUUGGCCUAAAAACUGCCCGGGGGUCUCCAGACUCUUUUUUUUUCCCGAGAUCUACUCAGGCAAGGAAACACGAAACGGAAAAUAGAUGGAUCUCUAAAACAAACCGAAUAUGAAAAGAACUCGGAUUGGUUGUGGAUAUAUGGUGGUAGGAUAUGGCAGCGGUGGUGGUAUAUGGUAGCGGUGGUGGUAUAUGGAUACGGAUCGGUGGUGGUAUAUGGAUACGGAGGUGGUAUAUGGAUACGGAUUCAAAGCGGUGGCGGAUAAGCAAUGGUGGUAGAUGGCAAGGCGAUGAUGAUGGUGCGGCGGCGGCGUGAGAACUUAUGACCAGAACUCAAAACUCUAAAAGACUAGACUCUAAGACCAGUAACUUGACACGACGAUGCAACCGCAAAUUCAACAAAGCAAAAACCCUAAAAAGAUUAUGCAAAGGCUCAGAUUGGUUCGGAUAUGAUGAACUAACCCUAAUUUUUUUGUGGCUUUUUCGUGGACUGUAGGUAUGAAGAACAGACUCGAUCUAAACUACGAAAAACUGUAAAAUCUCACCGAGCAACCUGGAAAUCUGAUACCACUUGAUAGAGGCAAAGGUGUCCCGUCUUUCGAUGAGAUGAUGGAUAUCGCUUUGGUGGAAGUCGACUUUGACGAUCCGACUACGAACGUGCGAUGACGUCGCGCCUUAGCAAUCGCUAAACCAACUCCGAGAGGUUAUUGACCACGCCGGAGCACGAUCAACCUGACCACGAGGGUCUGUUUCCUGCGAGCAAACGAAGAACAAGCAAGAAACUGAGAUUGCAAUCUGGAUAUUGCGAAUAUAAGAUGAAAGCUUUAUUGAUCAAGCUGGGGUUCUGUGACGCCUUUGUCUGGUCGUUGAACACAAACGAAGUACGCGAAGUUGCAGCUAUGGCGAACUUUUAAUCUAGACAAAACCCAAAGUCUAAACGACGCCAACCUCUCUUAUAAAUGUCCAAACCUCCAAAAAAUAACCUAGAUCGGAAGUUCCGCCGCCGCAAGCCUCUGUAGCCAUGAGAAAUCAAUCUAGGCCCUCUCUGGCACCCUGCCAGAGGGGGCCAUCAUCACCGGAGGCCAUGGAGGAGGAUCCCGGAGGGGCCAUCAUCGCCAUGAAGGCCAAGAUCUAGAGGGAGAACCUCUCCCCAUCCGGGGGGAGGCCAUGGAGGAGGAAACACAAGGGGGGGGGAACCUCUCCUCUCUCUCGUUGGCGCCGGAGUGCCAUCGGGAGGGGAAUCAUCGCCGCAGUGAUCGUCUUCAUCAACAUCACCAUCAUCAUCACCAUCCUCAUCUCUUUUACGCGGUCCACUCUCCCGCACCCCGCUGUAAUCCCUACUUGAACAUGGUGCUUUAUGCCACAUAUUAUGAUCCAAUGAUGUGUUGCCAUCCUAUGCUGUUUUCAGUAGAUAUCCUUUGUCUUUGGGUUGAUUGAUGAUCUAGAUUGGUAUGAGUUGUAUGUUUUAUUUUGGUGCUGUCCUAUUGUGCCCUCCGAGUCGCACAAACGUGAGGGCUUCCCGCUGUAGGGUGUUGCAAUACGUUCAUGAUUCGCUUAUAGUGGGUUGCUUGAGUGAUAGAAGCAUAAACCCGAGUAAGGGGUUGUUGCAUAUGGGAUUGAUAGAGGCAAAGGUGUCCCGUCUUUCGAUGAGAUGAUGGAUAUCGCUUUGGUAGAAGUCGACUUUGACGAUCCGACUACGAACGUGCGAUGACGUCGCGCCUUAGCAAUCGCUAAACCAACUCCGAGAGGUUAUCGACCACGCCGGAGCACGAUCAACCUGACCACGAGGGUCUGUUUCCUGCGAGCAAACGAAGAACAAGCAAGAAACUGAGAUUGCAAUCUGGAUAUUGCGAAUAUAAGAUGAAAGCUUUAUUGAUCAAGGUGGGGUUCUGUGACGCCUUUGUCUGGUCGUUGAACACAAACGAAGUACGCGAAGUUGCAGCUAUGGCGAACUUUUAAUCUAAACAAAACCCAAAGUCUAAACUACGCCCUAAGGGUUGUAUAUAUGGAGGAAGAGGGGGGAAUUUCGUGGCCCUUGGGGAAGGGGUCCGAAACCAACCCUAUCUCUUGUUUCCCCACACAUACGGACUCUAAAAAUAGCCUAUACUCAAGUAUUUCGAAAUUACAUGGGCCUGGCCCAAUAAUAAGGUGACGCAGCACCUAGAAUAGCCUCUGGACGAAAGUUAUGAGGUAGCAUCUUGUAUAUUUCGUCCAAGGCUUCAUGCACGCAUUAUGGUGGCUUCAAUGUCCUGAAAUCAUCACUUGUAACUCCGUUCUUGUCCCCCAUGCGCAUGCCAUCAUCUCCAUGCUUGUUCUUGCUCCAAUGUUCAUCCUUCUCAAAGCUAGGCCCUUCAUUUGUAAGCAAAACAAAUGCAUCCAAUUUAGGCAGCAUCAUAUUCUCAUGAACAUUAGAAUCAUUACCAAGAAACGAAAGUACCUGGUAAUUUAAUUGGCGUGCGCGAGCUCUAGUAAUUGGUCCAGUAUGUAUAGCAGCAGGGGCUGUGGGUGUAACAAUGGUAUGGAUGUCCUCAUCAGGGAUAAAGGGGACUUGAUGCUUUAAUGCUAUGGUUGGGUUUUACCUUAAUGAUCUUUAGUAGUUGCGGAUGCUUGCUAGAGUUCCAAUCAUAAGUGCAUAUGAUCCAAGAAGAGAAAGUAUGUUAGCUUGCCUCUCCCUCAUAUGAAACUGCAAUGAUGACUACGGGUCUUGUUAACAAUUGCCUAGGACAAUUCCGCACACCGAUCCAUCAUUCCACACUCGCUAUUUAUAAUAUUUAGUAAUAUAUUCUAACUUUAUGAUAACAGCACCUACUUUUAUGUUUUAGCUCUCCGAUAUCAUGCAAAGUUAUCCUCUUCAUACCCACAACGUAGUUUUAUUUCUCGUUUCUAGUUGGAAGCAAACGUUUGGUGUACGUAGAGUCAUAUCAGUGGCAGCUAGGACCUGAGAGAAUAUUGAUCUUACCUUUAGCUCCUUGUGGGUUCGACACUCCAUACUUAUAGCUUCCACCAUUGGGAAUUUCUAUGAUGAUUGCCUGCACUUGGGGAUUAUCAAGCUCUUUUCCGGCGCCGUUGCCGGGGAGCAAUAGCGUGGGGUUGAUAUUCUCGUGUGUGCUUGUUUGCUUUCUUCACUAUGUAGAUUUUGUUUUUCCUUUUUGUUUCUGUUUAGUUGUGGGUGAAACAUACAUUUUUUUAAAGAAUGAAAAUACAAAAAAAAUUACUUGCCUCUCAUGCCUAAAAAGUUAUUUUCAAUAAUAGAAGUGAUUGGAAGGUUAUGCAUUGGAGAAGUGAGGGUCGACCUUGAACACUUGUGUUCAUGCUCAUGGAAACAAUGUAAAAAAAUUCAUGGAAGAAUCUCUGAAAAUAAUUAUCCCCUUGUAUAUAUCCAUUGUAUUAUAAAAAUAAUGUGCCCAGCUUUGAUUUGAGGAUGUGAUAGAGGCGAGGGUGUCCCAUUCUUUCGAUGAGAUGAUAACUAUCGAUUUGGUGGAGUCGACUUUGACGAUCCGACUACAAACGUGCACGAUGUUGCGCCUUAGCAAUCGCUAAACCAAUCUCCUGAGGUUACUGACGAUGCCGGAAGCACGAUCAGCCUGACCACGAAGGUCUAUUCCUGCACGCAAUCGAAGAACAAUCAAGAAUAUGAUAAUGCAAUCUGAAUAUUGCGAAUAUAGAUGAAGUACUGAUAAAGGUGGGGAUCCGAAAGUGGUCUUGGUCUGGUCGUUGGACACAAACGAAGUACACGAAGUUGCAAUGGCUAACUUUUAACUAAACAAAUCCCGAGGAAAAAGCUACUAGAUGGAUCUACUUAUAUAGGAGCAAGGGGUGGCGGCCAAGGAGGUGGGAGGACGUCCCAAGGCAGCCUAAAACCAACUCUGGGUCGUACAAGGCUCAUGGGCCCAAGUGGAGGUGAUGCAACACCUUUGGACUUGUUGUUUGACUCGGAUUCUGCUGCAGCGUCAGAUUGUUUCGUCCAUAUCUCAACGCUCCGGACGAAUUUAAAUGUGAAUCCAACUGGGUUGGAAAGAGGACGAAAUCUACUUUCCAAGAAAAAAAGAAUCACCCAAUUCGGAGUCCGUAUGAAAAAGUUGUUGGCGUUUUGAGUCAGGUAUGUCUGUGCAGUCCGAAUUUGAAUCCAGAACGUGGGAGACUUGAACUCUAUCUUCUCUUGGCCCAAAGGUGACGUGAGAGGACUUUUUGAACAUAACCUAAACUUCUCCUUUUGUCUUAUCUUCAUAUGUGGAUUGUACAAAUGUCCCAUACACCUACAAUUAGACAAAACACAAAAGUGUGUGAAGUAUUUUUGUUCUGGAUAACUUAAAUAGAUUAUUGAAUAGUUUGCACUAGAAAUCACCUGACAAAUAUGCAUGUAUGCAAUAUUUUUGGUCGUAUCCAAGGUAGUUAUGUCCUCAUCAUCCUCCCCUUCUUGAAAACAAAGCCGUCCUCGGCGUUGCUUAAUCUGAAAUCUGGCUAACACAAGAGACAAGGUGUACACGUUGUAUAUGUAUAUGUCAUCCGUUUUUACUGAUCUCAUUUGGUGCACAUGUGACACAGUUAUACAAAAGCACCCUUCAAAAGUCGUGAAUUAUAAAGUCAAUAUAUUAUCACAAGAAGUCAAAGGCAUGAAAAUAUUGCAACUAAGUUUGCACAUAUAAGUGAAGCUCUUAUUCAUAUCAAAAGAUUGACAAUGCUUAUCAUUAAACCAUCCCAACAUUGAUGAACCAUCACCAAGAUUAGAGGUCAUAUCAAAAUGAUUAAACAUUGGUACAAUUAUUUUCAAACAUAUUUGAUCCAAAUCUGAUUUAUUCCCUGAUUCACUUGAUUCUUUUGCAUCGAUAGUUAAUUCAAUGAGUUCACUCAUAAUUGUUUGAUCACAUUGCAAAGUCAAAUCAUCAACAUAGUCCCUAAAGUAGCUGGUGUGAUCAAAGUAGUGGGUAACUCACCGCAUGGUGCAUUUAAAUUGACAAGACAUUCAUCAUACUCAUGUGGAGGUGGAAGAUUAGUACCUUUGUCAUUACCUCUUAUGAUCAACUCAGAUGAUGUAGGCACUCUCGGUGAUGAUGUGUCACAUGGUGGAGGUGAUGUAGUACUCACAGCAACGGAUGUGGUUGUCAUAGUAUGCCUAGUAGUGGAAGGGACAACCGUAUCAACUCUUGGAAUGUGCAUCUCGUGCUUGUUCUCCUUGUGGGCAACACGUCAUUUUAUUUCCUGUUCAGCUUUGCAAGCAAGAUGAAACAAAUGGUCCAUAGGAUAACACUCUUCAUGAAUUAGUAUCUCCUGAAUGUCACGAUUUAAUCCUCCCCAAAAUCUAUCCAUAAAAUCUUCUUCACUUUCUGCUAAAGAGGAAUGCAGCAAGGUAGUUUGUAAAGUAUCAUAAUAUUUCGUUAUGGUGUGACUACCUUGUUUUAAAUAUUGCAACUUUGUUAUCAUGUCACGAGUAUAAUAAGCGGGUACGAAUGUAUGUCGCAUGGCAAGUUUCAAAUCAUCCCAAGUAGUAGGUAUAUCAUUAGGGUGCAACCGACAAUAUUCACUCCACCAAACUACAGCAUAACCAGUGAAAGAACCAGCCGCAACCUUAACUUUUUUACGUACAUCAAAAUUAUUGAAAGCAAAUAUAUUAUUUCUGUCAAACUCCCAUUCAAUAUAUAAAGCAGGUCUAAAACGGCCAUUAAAUGGUGGUAUAGAAACAUUAACCUGAUCAUGUGCAUUUGCAUGUUUGUGCACCUCUCGUGACGGUUGUGGUAUUUGCAUAGGUAAUGGCACGUCUCCCCCGAUCGACAAACCCCAUGAAUUGACUCUAGAUCCUGUCAUGAUUAGUAGAAACAAGAAACAAAAUUCAAGAAUAAUGUUCCUAUGAACUACUAGGAUAUGGUGGUAAAGCGCUCACAGUAAAGCAAAUAUCAAUAUCUUACAAGUUCUUACCAAGCAGCAGGUGGUGACAGGCAACCAGCGGUGUCAAAUAACUCUGGAGAUUGUGUAAAGCGAUUGCCAGGGGAACGUACGUAUACACGGUGCAGAAAUAUGUGGAGCUGGGUUGGCUAUAUAUGGUAGCAAAAUAUUAGCAAUAAUCAAUUCAGAGAUGCAAUGUUGAAUAAACGCUCAACGACGGUACUGUGCUGGUCCUAGGCUAGACCGGACUAGAGACGCGAGCCUAGAACACUAAUGAGGUCACGGCGUAGCAAAAUUAGCAUCAAUGAAGGAUACUAAAUAGCUCUGGACAGCAAGAUAUAAGUGAAGAUCACAACGGCAGUAUAGAUAAUGAUGAAAAACAACUGCCAAGCAGGAUAUACAACAACUCUCUCUCCAACUUUCCUUUUGAAAAGUUUGAGCCAAUUUUCUGAUAACUUUUCUCAAGAAUGGCACUGACUCAAGCUUUCAAACGCAAAAAGAAUCACUCAAUUCUGAGUUGAUAUGUGGAGUCAAAAAAUUCUAAAACUGGCUUGAAAAACUGGAAUAAGCUGUGUCGCGAACUUCGGAGGGCAAAAAGACCUAUUUAGAAGCCGAUUUUGAGGUGCCAAAUAGUGAACUUGUCUCUGCAACUAUUUAGAUGCGGCUUGUCGCUAGCUUUCAUUUGAGUACUCAUGGAGCCAAAACUGACUUCGUAUGAGAAAGUUAUGCCUGUUUUACUGAAUAGUGCACAAAAGAGAUUCCAAUCCGAAUUCAACUACGAGAUUGAUUCUAGAUAGAUUCGAAUUUUGUUUUUUUCUCUCUUUUUUUCCUCACACGUUUUCUUUUCUUUUUUUUUUCUAACUCUUUUUUUUACUUUUUUCUCUGUCUUUUUUUCUCUCUCCCUCUUUCCAAAACAAACUAGAUAAGAUGCAGAUUGGAUCAAGCGAAGAUGUGAACGAUCUCAACUAUGAUUAUGACAAUGAACGGUGGGUAGCACAGUGUGGAAAUUGAUGGAUGGGUGGUGGACAGCGGAAGGGAUAACGAUGUAGCGGUGACGUGACAAAUGUGAACAGAACUCGAAACUCUAAACGGACUAGGCACUAAGACCAGCAAGUCGACACGACGAUGCAACAGAUAAUUCAAUAAUGCAAACAAUGAAUAGAAAAUUGCAAAGGCUCAGACUGGCUAGGACAAAGGAUGAAUAGAUCUAACUUUUUUUAUGGCUUUUUCUUGGACAAUAGGUAAGAAAAUAAAUCUAAUCUAGGGAUAACUGGAAAUUCUCACCGAGCAACCUGAAAACUGAUACCACUUGAUAGAGGCGAGGGUGUCCCGAUCUUUCGAUGAGAUGAUAACUAUCGAUUUGGUGGAGUCCACUUUGACGAUCCGACUACAAACAUGCACGACGUUGCGCCUUAGCAAUCGCUAAACCAAUCUCCUGAGGUUACUGGCGAUGUCGGAAGCACG
rnacentral:lncRNA from 1 species